AACGCACCUUGCGCUCCUUGGUAUUCCGAGGAGCAUGCCUGUUUGAGUGUCUUGAAGUCAUCAACCCCUCCGGUUUUUCGAAGCUGGGGACGGUUGGAGUUGGGGGCUUGCUGCCGAAAGGCUGCUCCCCUCAAAUGUGUCGGUUGGACCUGCGGGUCGUACUCGUUGGGCGUUGUAUCAUCCUCGCUCUGACAGAGAUGUUCCCCUUCUGUUGUCCUCCCUCGACUCGCCUGUGGAGCGGCAGUCAGCACUUUGAAAUCUGACCUCAAAUCAGGUAGGACUACCCGCUGAACUUAA
rnacentral:misc_RNA from 1 species